GGAGGGUGUUCUGUCUGUCUGGGGAAUGGACUCAGGAGGAGAGUGGAGGGUGUUCUGUCUGUCUGGGGAAUGGACUCAGAAGGAGAGUGGAGGGUGUUCUGUCUGUCUGGGGAAUGGACUCAAGAGGAGAGUGGAGGGUGUUCUGUCUGUCUGGGGAAUGGACUCAAGAGGAGAGUGGAGGGUGUUCUGUCUGUCUGGGGAAUGGACUCAUGAGGAGAGUGGAGGGGGCAGAGAGAAUGACAUCACUCAACGGACAGGGGAACAGAAUAUGACGGACCGAAGGUGGCCUUCUAUGCGGCUUUGACUGAUUCAGGAGCAGUAGGACCCUUCAGUUCUGAAACCAAUCUGAUCUACAUCAAAGUCUUCACCAAUAUAGGCAAUGCCUUACCGCCAACAUACAGGUGCCUUCACAGCACCGGGGAGAGGAGUCUACUACUUCAGCUACACUGCCUCUGAUCAUCGAAAUAACUUUUUUUAAUUACAUUUUUUCAGUCGGAUAAACACUCCAAACAGCCUACCCGACCGCUCUGAGGCGCCCGCAUGGUCCU